rnacentral:rRNA from 1 species
UACGUAGGGAGCAAGCGUUGUCCGGAAUCAUUGGGCGCAAAGCGCGCGUAGGUGGCCACAUAAGUCCGUUGUGAAAGUCAAAGGCUCAACCUUUGAAAGCCGAUGGAUACUGUGUGGCUAGAGUACGGAAGAGGCGAGUGGAAUUCCUGGUGUAGCGGUGGAAUGCGCAGAUAUCAGGAGGAACACCAAUAGCGAAGGCAGCUCGCUGGGACGUUACUGACACUGAGGCGCGAAAGCGUGGGGAGCGAACAGG